rnacentral:rRNA from 1 species
AGGGAUCAUUGCUGGAACGCGCCCCAGGCGCACCCAGAAACCCUUUGUGAACUUAUACCUUACUGUUGCCUCGGCGCAUGCCGGCCCCCCUGGGGGCCCCUCCUCCUGGAGGAGCAGGCACGCCGGCGGCCAACCUAACUCUUGUUUUUACACUGAAACUCUGAGAAUAAAACAUAAAUGAAUCAAAACUUUCAACAACGGAUCUCUUGGUUCUGGCAUCGAUGAAGAACGCAGCGAAAUGCGAUAAGUAAUGUGAAUUGCAGAAUUCAGUGAAUCAUCGAAUCUUUGAACGCACAUUGCGCCCUCUGGUAUUCCGGAGGGCAUGCCUGUUCGAGCGUCAUUUCAACCCUCAAGCCUGGCUUGGUGAUGGGGCACUGCCUGUAAAAGGGCAGGCCCUGAAAUUCAGUGGCGAGCUCGCCAGGACCCCGAGCGCAGUAGUUAAACCCUCGCUCUGGAAGGCCCUGGCGGUGCCCUGCCGUUAAACCCCCAACUUCUGAAAAUUUGACCUCGGAUCAGGUAGGAAUACCCGC